rnacentral:rRNA from 1 species
UGAGGAACAUGACCUUCGGCGGGGGAUAGCCGGCCCAACGGCCGGGUAAUACCGCGUACGACCACAUGGGGACAUCCCUGAGUGGUGAAAGCAGCAAUGCGCCGAAAGAGUGCCUCGCGGCCUAUCAGCUAGUUGGUGGGGUAAUGGCUCACCAAGGCAACGACGGGUANCUGGUCUGAGAGGAUGGCCAGCCACAGUUGGGACUGAGACACGGCCCAGACUCCGUAGGGAGG